AUACUGCUUAGAGUAACUGAUGCAUACUAUCUCUGCCUGGCAUGAUUUCAUAGCUAGACAGAGACACUUGGCCUCAGACAU
rnacentral:snoRNA from 1 species